AGGCGCCAUUUACCUUCAGUGUUGCUAACAGACUGUACAGAGAGAAGUCCUGCCCCUUUACUCAGGUAACAUCACAGAGGUGGUGGAUGAAGAUGAUUUGAAUGAACUGACCAGGCUGGUGUUGUUCACUGCCACCCACUUCAGAGGCAGCUGGAAGAAAGAUUUCUCGUGGUCUAAAACUUAUGAUGCUCAAUUUUGGCUCAAGAAGAAUGACUCAAAGGC